GGUUAAGUUAAUAAGGGCGCACGGUGGAUGCCUUGGCACUAGGAGCCGACGAAGGACGUGACAAACGACGAUAUGCCUUGGGUAGCUGUAAGUAAGCGAUGAUCCAUGGAUUUCCGAAUGGGGGAACCCAACAGGUAAUACCUGUUACCCACAUCUGUUAAGGAUGUGAGGAGGAAGACGCAGUGAACUGAAACAUCUAAGUAGCUGCAGGAAGAGAAAGCAAAAGCGAUUGCCUUAGUAGCGGCGAGCGAAACGGCAGAAGGGCAAACCGAAGAGUUUACUCUUCGGGGUUGUAGGACUGCAAUGUGGACUCAAAGAUUAUAGAAGAAUGAUUUGGGAAGAUCAGCCAAAGAGAGUAAUAGCCUCGUAUUUAAAAUAGUCUUUGUACCUAGCAGUAUCCUGAGUACGGCGGGACACGUGAAAUCCCGUCGGAAUCUGGGAGGACCAUCUCCCAACCCUAAAUACUCCCUAGUGACCGAUAGUGAACCAGUACCGUGAGGGAAAGGUGAAAAGCACCCCGGGAGGGGAGUGAAAUAGAACCUGAAACCGUGUGCCUACAACAAGUUCGAGCCCGUUAAUGGGUGAGAGCGUGCCUUUUGUAGAAUGAACCGGCGAGUUACGUUAUGAUGCGAGGUUAAGUUGAAGAGACGGAGCCGUAGGGAAACCGAGUCUGAAUAGGGCGCCUUAGUAUCAUGACGUAGACCCGAAACCAUGUGACCUACCCAUGAGCAGGUUGAAGGUGCGGUAAGACGCACUGGAGGACCGAACCAGGGCACGUUGAAAAGUGCUUGGAUGACUUGUGGGUAGCGGAGAAAUUCCAAACGAACUUGGAGAUAGCUGGUUCUCUCCGAAAUAGCUUUAGGGCUAGCGUCGACAUUAGAGAUUCUUGGAGGUAGAGCACUGUUUGGGUGAGGGGUCCAUCCCGGAUUACCAAUCUCAGAUAAACUCCGAAUGCCAAUGAAUUAUGGUCGGCAGUCAGACUGCGAGUGCUAAGAUCCGUAGUCGAAAGGGAAACAGCCCAGACCACCAGCUAAGGUCCCAAAAUAAUUGUUAAGUGGAAAAGGAUGUGGGGUUGCACAGACAACUAGGAUGUUAGCUUAGAAGCAGCUAUUCAUUCAAAGAGUGCGUAAUAGCUCACUAGUCGAGUGACCCUGCGCCGAAAAUGUACCGGGGCUAAAACAAUUUACCGAAGCUGUGGAUACCUUUAUAGGUAUGGUAGGAGAGCGUUCUAUGUGUGAUGAAGGUAUACCGUGAGGAGUGCUGGAACGCAUAGAAGUGAGAAUGCCGGUAUGAGUAGCGAAAGACAGGUGAGAAUCCUGUCCACCGUAAGACUAAGGUUUCCAGGGGAAGGCUCGUCCGCCCUGGGUUAGUCGGGACCUAAGGAGAGACCGAAAGGUGUAUCCGAUGGACAACAGGUUGAUAUUCCUGUACUAGAGUAUGUAGUGAUGGAGGGACGCAGUAGGCUAACUAAAGCAGACGAUUGGAAGAGUCUGUCUAAGCAGUGAGGUGUGAAUUGAGUCAAAUGCUUAAUUCUAUAACAUUGAGCUGUGAUGGGGAGCGAAGUUUAGUAGCGAAGUUAGUGACGUCACACUGCCAAGAAAAGCUUCUAGCGUUUAAACAUACUCUACCCGUACCGCAAACCGACACAGGUAGUCGAGGCGAGUAGCCUCAGGUGAGCGAGAGAACUCUCGUUAAGGAACUCGGCAAAAUGACCCCGUAACUUCGGGAGAAGGGGUGCUGACUUUAAGUCAGCCGCAGUGAAUAGGCCCAAGCAACUGUUUAUCAAAAACACAGCUCUCUGCUAAAUCGUAAGAUGAUGUAUAGGGGGUGACGCCUGCCCGGUGCUGGAAGGUUAAGAGGAGUGCUUAGCGUAAGCGAAGGUAUGAAUUGAAGCCCCAGUAAACGGCGGCCGUAACUAUAACGGUCCUAAGGUAGCGAAAUUCCUUGUCGGGUAAGUUCCGACCCGCACGAAAGGCGUAAUGAUUUGGGCACUGUCUCAACGAGAGACUCGGUGAAAUUUUAGUACCUGUGAAGAUGCAGGUUACCCGCGACAGGACGGAAAGACCCCAUGGAGCUUUACUGCAGUUUGAUAUUGAGUGUCUGUACCACAUGUACAGGAUAGGUAGGAGUCUAAGAGAU
rnacentral:rRNA from 1 species